CGACGGGUAGCUGGUCUGAGAGGACGAUCAGCCACACUGGGACUGAGACACGGCCCAGACUCCUACGGGAGGCAGCAGUGGGGAAUCUUGCACAAUGGGCGAAAGCCUGAUGCAGCAACGCCGCGUGAGGGACGAAGGCUUUCUGAGUUGUAAACCUCUUUCAGCAGGGACGAUUGUGACGGUACCUGCAGAAGAAGCCCCGGCCAACUACGUGCCAGCAGCCGCGGUAAUACGUAGGGGGCAAGCGUUGUCCGGAUUUAUUGGGCGUAAAGAGCUCGUAGGCGGCUUGGCAAGUCGAAUGUGAAACCUCCAGGCUCAACCUGGAGAUGCCAUUUGAUACUGCCAUGGCUAGAGUUUGGUAGGGGACCACGGAAUUCCUGGUGUAGCGGUGAAAUGCGCAGAUAUCAGGAGGAACACCAGCGGCGAAGGCGGUGGUCUGGGCCAAUACUGACGCUGAGGAGCGAAAGCGUGGGGAGCGAACAGGAUUAGAUACCCUGGUAGUCCACGCCGUAAACGUUGGGCACUAGGUGUGGGGACCUAUCGACGGUUUCUGUGCCGCAGCU
rnacentral:rRNA from 1 species